rnacentral:tRNA from 1 species
UAUAUUUUAGUGUAUGAUGCACAUAAGUUUUUGAAGCUUUUGGAAAUAGUUUAAUUCUAUUAAAUAUAA